CAUAAAAUCACCAGUGACUACGAAGUUUAUGUAAUAGAUUGUGUUUUAUAUAAAUUGUUACUUUUGAUGUUAGAUUAUGUAACUAUUUUGGUGAAAGUUUGCUGGUAAUUAUGUGAAGAUGCUUGUACUUCAGCUCAAGUUUCAUUUAUAUUCCAGCUCUGCUAACAUUCUCCUGUUUUUUCAUUUGUAAAUUUGUCUAGAAAAAUUGUGUCUUUGUUAUUGAAUGUUUAAUCCCACAGGCCUUGGUUAACUAAUUCAGCUGUGAAAUUCUUUUCUUUUUCAUUUUGACAGUUGCCUUGCAGAACAUAGAGAAAAUAAGACUGGGUCUGACUCAUUUUAAUUGUGCAUAGGUGAUUUUCAUUGAUGCAACAAGUGGAAGACUUUAACUUGAAAAUCAUCUGUGAAGCAGGAAGUAUACAGCCAACAUAUUUACUCACAUGUUACAGACUAUUUCUAUUUUAAACAAUUGCUUUGUUUUUUCUUUGUCUAAACACAUUUAUCAGAUGUGGUACUUUGCCUGAAAGACCUGCAGUCUUUUUUCAUCUUCAGUGUUGAAGAUGAACUUGGUGUUUGACAUGUACAGUUCAGUGCAGCGAACAAAUUCAAAUAAUCUUCAAGAAAUAAUAAAGCGUUGACAGUGUUGACAUUCAAACCUAUUUUGUUGUUGUUGUUGUUGUUGUUGUUGUUGUUGUUGUUGUUGUUGUUGUUGUUGUUGUUGUUGUUGUUGUGCAACAGGGCCAUUCAAGUCUAGCUCUGUCUUAUGUCUUAGGUUUCCAAGUGUGGAUUGUAAGACUUUGAAGUCAAAGAACUGUAAACAACACAUUCAACAUAACAGAUAUUUGGCAAACUGAUUGCAGUUGUAUGGAAAAGAGUGACCAGCAGCUACAGUACAUUCAGAAGAGUGACAAUCAUGCGAUACGUGCAGAUUCCUGUGACAAUACCCUGAACAACACCUUUAAAUUUCCCUCAGUUUGUGGGAUCAUUCACAGCAGCAGAGGAAUUCAUUUUUAGAGGAAAGCAUGGCUGCUGUUGUUGCAGACAGGUGAGCAAUUAGGCUGAACAUAGGCGUGCAUCUUCCACGUGGCUCUGGUGACUCGGAAGCCCACAAAACCCACGGCAGCAAUCGCUAACGCACCCUAUUAACCAGUCAUCACGCACCUGCAGCCGGGCAUGCUAGAGAUAAUUAGACCAUUCUGCAUACUGUGACAACUUGUGUUGAAACUCAUCCCUAAAACCCGCUCAUUAUAUAUGUGUGGCAUCCUUUGGGUACUGCAAAGCGCUGGUCUAAUUGUCACAUCAAUUUACAGCGUUUUCAAGGUAAUGUGAACGUUAACAGAAGGACAAGUAAAACGUUAAGAAGCAAUGCUUCAGCUGGUGUGUCAGCUACAAUGAAAACAGUGCCUGAGCGCAUUUCACAAACAGGCCUGUAGCCAUUGCCUUUGUCAUGCCGUUUGUCAUUUGUGCACAGGAUGUGGUAUGGAAGUGUUAUUCGAGUUCCUUAUUUCUUCCUUAUACGUUCCUUUUCUUUCUAUCUGUGUUUUUUGCUUUUAGUUGUAAAUAUUAAUCUUUGUUUAAUGUAUUUUUCAGAGAAUCUGGAAAUGAAGAAUACCGUAAAGUAAGGAUACAAAACAGGAAAUUAAAAGUUACAAGCACAAUAAAGACUAGACAUUAAAAACAGAAAUGCAGAGUGCUGUAUUUUGUGCAAAAGGUCCUGUGGGUCCGUGCAAAAUCACCUGCAUUGUGCAAAAUAAGCAGACGCAUGUAC